rnacentral:rRNA from 1 species
UAGGGAAUUUUGCGCAAUGGGCGAAAGCCUGACGCAGCAACGCCGCGUGAUUGAAGAAGCCCUUCGGGGUGUAAAGAUCUGUCAGUGGGGACGAAACUUGACGGUACCCACAGAGGAAGCACCGGCUAACUCCGUGCCAGCAGCCGCGGUAAUACGGAGGGUGCGAGCGUUGUCCGGAAUCAUUGGGCGUAAAGAGUUCGUAGGUGGUUUGUUAAGUUUGGUGUUAAAUUCAGAGGCUCAACUUCUGUAGGGCAUCGGAUACUGGCAGACUAGAAUGCGGUAGAGGUAAAGGGAAUUCCUGGUGUAGCGGUGAAAUGCGUAGAUAUCAGGAGGAACAUCGGAGGCGUAAGCGCUUUACUGGGCCGUAAUUGACACUGAGGAACGAAAGCCAGGGUAGCAA